rnacentral:rRNA from 1 species
UACGGGGGGGGCAAGCGUUGUUCGGAAUUACUGGGCGUAAAGGGUUUGUAGGUGGCCAACUAAGUCAGACGUGAAAUCCCUCAGCUUAACUGGGGAACUGCGUCUGAGACUGGAUGGCUCGAGUGCAGGAGAGGAACGCGGAAUUCCAGGUGUAGCGGUGAAAUGCGUAGAUAUCUGGAGGAAUACCGGUGGCGAAGGCGGCAUCCUGGACCAUUACUGACGCUGAGACGCGAAAGCGUGGGGAGCAAACAGG